rnacentral:rRNA from 1 species
CCGUUGGUGAACCAGCGGAGGGAUCAUUACCGAGUUUACAACUCCCAAACCCAAUGUGAACGUUACCAAACUGUUGCCUCGGCGGGAUCUCUGCCCCGGGUGCGUCGCAGCCCCGGACCAAGGCGCCCGCCGGAGGACCAACCAAAACUCUUAUUGUAUACCCCCUCGCGGGUUUUUUUUAUAAUCUGAGCCUUCUCGGCGCCUCUCGUAGGCGUUUCGAAAAUGAAUCAAAACUUUCAACAACGGAUCUCUUGGUUCUGGCAUCGAUGAAGAACGCAGCGAAAUGCGAUAAGUAAUGUGAAUUGCAGAAUUCAGUGAAUCAUCGAAUCUUUGAACGCACAUUGCGCCCGCCAGUAUUCUGGCGGGCAUGCCUGUCCGAGCGUCAUUUCAACCCUCGAACCCCUCCGGGGGGUCGGCGUUGGGGAUCGGCCCUGCCUUGGCGGUGGCCGUCUCCGAAAUACAGUGGCGGUCUCGCCGCAGCCUCUCCUGCGCAGUAGUUUGCACACUCGCAUCGGGAGCGCGGCGCGUCCACAGCCGUUAAACACCCAACUUCUGAAAUGUUGACCUCGGAUCAGGUAGGAAUACCCGCUGAACUUAAGCAUAUCAA